UGCAGUCGAGCGGAGAGAGGUAGCUUGCUACUGAUCUUAGCGGCGGACGGGUGAGUAAUGCUUAGGAAUCUGCCUAUUAGUGGGGGACAACAUUUCGAAAGGAAUGCUAAUACCGCAUACGUCCUACGGGAGAAAGCAGGGGAUCUUCGGACCUUGCGCUAAUAGAUGAGCCUAAGUCGGAUUAGCUAGUUGGUGGGGUAAAGGCCUACCAAGGCGACGAUCUGUAGCGGGUCUGAGAGGAUGAUCCGCCACACUGGGACUGAGACACGGCCCAGACUCCUACGGGAGGCAGCAGUGGGGAAUAUUGGACAAUGGGCGCAAGCCUGAUCCAGCCAUGCCGCGUGUGUGAAGAAGGCCUUAUGGUUGUAAAGCACUUUAAGCGAGGAGGAGGCUACUUUAGUUAAUACCUAGAGAUAGUGGACGUUACUCGCAGAAUAAGCACCGGCUAACUCUGUGCCAGCAGCCGCGGUAAUACAGAGGGUGCAAGCGUUAAUCGGAUUUACUGGGCGUAAAGCGCGCGUAGGCGGCUAAUUAAGUCAAAUGUGAAAUCCCCGAGCUUAACUUGGGAAUUGCAUUCGAUACUGGUUAGCUAGAGUGUGGGAGAGGAUGGUAGAAUUCCAGGUGUAGCGGUGAAAUGCGUAGAGAUCUGGAGGAAUACCGAUGGCGAAGGCAGCCAUCUGGCCUAACACUGACGCUGAGGUGCGAAAGCAUGGGGAGCAAACAGGAUUAGAUACCCUGGUAGUCCAUGCCGUAAACGAUGUCUACUAGCCGUUGGGGCCUUUGAGGCUUUAGUGGCGCAGCUAACGCGAUAAGUAGACCGCCUGGGGAGUACGGUCGCAAGACUAAAACUCAAAUGAAUUGACGGGGGCCCGCACAAGCGGUGGAGCAUGUGGUUUAAUUCGAUGCAACGCGAAGAACCUUACCUGGCCUUGACAUAGUAAGAACUUUCCAGAGAUGGAUUGGUGCCUUCGGGAACUUACAUACAGGUGCUGCAUGGCUGUCGUCAGCUCGUGUCGUGAGAUGUUGGGUUAAGUCCCGCAACGAGCGCAACCCUUUUCCUUAUUUGCCAGCGAGUAAUGUCGGGAACUUUAAGGAUACUGCCAGUGACAAACUGGAGGAAGGCGGGGACGACGUCAAGUCAUCAUGGCCCUU
rnacentral:rRNA from 1 species